rnacentral:rRNA from 1 species
AUUGAACGCUGGCGGCAGGCCUAACACAUGCAAGUCGAACGAGUGGCGGACGGGUGAGUAAUGUCUGGGAAACUGCCCGAUGGAGGGGGAUAACUACUGGAAACGGUAGCUAAUACCGCAUACCAUCGGAUGUGCCCAGAUGGGAUUAGCUUGUAGGUGAGGUAACGGCUCACCUAGGCGACGAUCCCUAGCUGGUCUGAGAGGAUGACCAGAAGAAAGGGACAGGAGACAAGGGCCAGAAUCAUACGGGAGGCAGCAGUGGGUAAUAUUGCACAAUGGGGGAAAUCCUGAUGCAGCCAGGCCGCGUGGAUGAGGAAGGCCUUGGGGUUGUAAAGUACGUGCAGCGGGGAGGCGUUAUCCGCAGAAGAAGCACCGGCUAACUCCGUGCCAGCCGCCGCGGUAAUAC